CCCUUAGAUGUUCUGGGCCGCACGCGUGCUACACUGAGUGGAUCAGCGGGUCAGGUUGCGCGAAAGUGUUUCCUAAUCUUGAAAUCCGCUCGUGAUGGGGAUUGACGGUUGCAAUUUUCCGUCAUGAACGAGGAAUACCUUGUAAGCGCGGGUCAUCAUCCCGCGCUGAAUACGUCCCUGCCCUUUGUACACACCGCCCGUCGUUCCUACCGAUUGAGUGGUCCGGUGAGGCUUUGGGAUCUGAGCGGAAAGAGCGUUUCGCUGUUUCUGCUCGGAAAACUCAGUCGAACCUUAUCAUUUAGAGGAAGGAGAAGUCGUAACA
rnacentral:rRNA from 1 species